GACGAACGCUGGCGGCAUGCCUAAUACAUGCAAGUCGAGCGGACAGAAGGGAGCUUGCUCCCGAAAGUCAGCGGCGGACGGGUGAGUAACACGUGGGCAACCUGCCCCUUAGAUUGGGUUAACUUCGGGAAACCGAAGCUAAUACCGAAUAAUACAAGGAACCUCCUGGUUCUCUGUUGAAAGAUGGCCUUUGUGCUGUCACUAAGGGAUGGGCCCGCGGCGCAUUAGCUAGUUGGUAAGGUAACGGCUUACCAAGGCGACGAUGCGUAGCCGACCUGAGGGGGUGAUCGGCCACACUGGGACUGAGACACGGCCCAGACUCCUACGGGAGGCAGCAGUAGGGAAUCUUCCGCAAUGGACGAAAGUCUGACGGAGCAAUGCCGCGUGAGUGAGGAAGGCCUUCGGGUCGUAAAGCUCUGUUGUGAGGGAAGAACAAGUACCGGCGUAACUACCGGUACCGUGACGGUACCUCACCAGAAAGCCACGGCUAACUACGUGCCAGCCGCCGCGGUAA
rnacentral:rRNA from 1 species